UACAAAGCCAUAUCUCCCAGCAAUUCCCCCCUGAAGCUAAGCAGGGUUGAGCCUGGUCAGUACCUGGAUGGGAGACCUCCUGGGGAAAACUAAGUUUGCUGCUGGAA
rnacentral:rRNA from 1 species